ncrna:length=23779
UCACGAAAGUGGAGGUUAGGAUCUGCACUAAACAUUUCAAAUCAGUGAGAUUCUUAUUCCUCCACUUACUUGC